CGCUCCAAACCUUACCGCGUAGAGUGAUGACUCUGAUAUAUACUCUACGCAGUGAUAUGGGUGUUGCAUGUAGACUUUAAUCAGAAUAUUUGUAAACAUGAUUGAUGUCAGUUCUAAGUGAAAAUGUGUUGUGAAAGAUACACUGUACAUUGUACAAUUUUUAUCAUUUAGACAAAUAUAAAUGAUGAAUAUAUCAGAUCUUGAAUUUAGCUGGUAUAAAUUAUUGAAAGAAAGGAACUGUCAUCCUGAUUUAAAACCUUUGAUUUAAUCGCCUCUUUUUCAUAAGAACAUCCUUCACCCUGUGAAUGCUAAGCGCAGAUCAGCAAGAAAAUAUUCGAAAUUUGUCGCUUUCAUCUAAGAAAAAAGAUUUGAAAUAUGAAUUGUUGACAUGAAUCAAAUAAUGGGAGGAUUAAUAGAGGAGUUUGAAUGUCGUCUUUCUCUAGACCCAGAAACCAGUAGCAUCUUUAGUUUAGACGGGAGCAGCAGAUCAAACAUGAGCAGCGGAUCAGUUAGAAGUUCUAUUGGGAGCUCCACAGGCAGCUCAGAUAGUGGAGGCAGAUUAGCAGACGAAACAUCAGGGGAUGAGCGAAGAAAGAUUGAGAAUCGAUUGUUUCAACUUCUCCGGGAAAUGAUUCAAACAGAGCGGAAGUAUGUUCAGGAUCUUGAUGAGGUAAUUAUUCAAUCAAUC